UACGUAGGGUGCAAGCGUUGUCCGGAAUUUAUUGGGCGAAAGAGCUCGUAGGCGGUUUGUCGCGUCUGCUGUGAAAACCCGAGGCUCAACCUCGGGCCUGCAGUGGGUACGGGCAGACUAGAGUGCGGUAGGGGAGAUUGGAAUUCCUGGUGUAGCGGUGGAAUGCGCAGAUAUCAGGAGGAACACCCGUGGCUAAGGCGGCUCUCUAGUACGGUACUGACGCUGAGACGCGAAAAGCGUGGGGAGCGAACAGG
rnacentral:rRNA from 1 species